rnacentral:rRNA from 1 species
GUUCGUAGGUGACCUGCGGAGGAUCAUUAUUGUUUCGGGGAAAACUAAAACCCCAUUAGGUGUCAAGCUAGUGGAGGGAGCUUGGCAUCGAGGGCCCUGAAAAAAGAGGGAUUUCUUCAACCUUGCCUUUUUUUGCGCACCCCUUGUUUCCUCGGCAGCUUCGCCUGCCAACGAGGACCCCCUUAAACCCUUUUGCAAUCAGCAUAACGUUCUGAAAACAAACAAUAUUAAAACUUUCAACAAUGGAUCUCUUGGCUCUGGCAUCGAUGAAGAACGCAGCGAAAUGCGAUAAGUAGUGUGAAUUGCAGAAUUCAGUGAAUCAUCGAAUCUUUGAACGCACAUUGCGCCCUUUGGUAUUCCUUAGGGCAUGCCUGUUCGAGCGUCAUUUACAAAUUCAAGCUCAGCUUGGUGAUGGGUGUCUGUCCCGCCUCUGCGCGUGGACUCGCCUCAAAUGCAGUUGGCAGCUUAUCCCUCGGCUCUAAACGCAGCAGAUUUGCGUCGAGCGUCGUGUGGACGGGCUCUCCAGUAAGCAAACCCCCCAAAAUUGACCUCGGAUCAGGUAGGGAUACCCGCUGAACUUAAGCAUAUCAAUAAGCGGAGGA